UACGUAGGGACCAAGCGUUGUUCGGAUUUACUGGGCGUAAAGCGUGCGCAGGCGGUCCGUUAAGACAGAUGUGAAAUCCCCGGGCUUAACCUGGGAACUGCAUUUGUGACUGUAGAGCUGGAGUACGGCAGAGGGGGAUGGAAUUCCGCGUGUAGCAGUGAAAUGCGUAGAUAUGCGGAGGAACACCGAUGGCGAAGGCAAUCCCCUGGGCCUGUACUGACGCUCAUGCACGAAAGCGUGGGGAGCAAACAGG
rnacentral:rRNA from 1 species